UUGUGUCUGUUUCGGGUUCAUUGUGUCUGUUUCGGGUUCAUUGUGUCUGUUUCGGGUUCAUUGUGUCUGUUUCGGGUUCAUUGUGUGUGUUUCGGGUUCAUUGUUUCAUCUAUUUAUUAAAACUCACUUCCGGAACUUGCUUCCUGACUCUCAGCGCACUCGUUACACUGCCAAAUCAGAGGCAGUAGGGAAGAACAGGGAUGUUCUCUUGAUAAGUGCAUAAUAAGUUGAAGCAGGAUGUUAUGACAUUGUGGUUUAUGAGGACCUGACAGGGGAGUUCACCUGGCCCAGCCUAACAACCUUAACAUUGAGGGGGAAGGCCAAGGAGUUGUUCCGCAAACUCAGAGAGAAACCCAGAG